GAUGAACGCUGGCGGCGUGCCUAAUACAUGCAAGUCGAGCGAACAGACGAGGAGCUUGCUCCUUUGACGUUAGCGGCGGACGGGUGAGUAACACGUGGAUAACCUACCUAUAAGACUGGGAUAACUUCGGGAAACCGGAGCUAAUACCGGAUAACAUCUUGAACCGCAUGGUUCAACAGUGAAAGACGGUCUUGCUGUCACUUAUAGAUGGAUCCGCGCCGCAUUAGCUAGUUGUUAAGGUAACGGCUUACCAAGGCAACGAUGCGUAGCCGACCUGAGAGGGUGAUCGGCCACACUGGAACUGAGACACGGUCCAGACUCCUACGGGAGGCAGCAGUAGGGAAUCUUCCGCAAUGGGCGAAAGCCUGACGGAGCAACGCCGCGUGAGUGAAGAAGGUCUUCGGAUCGUAAAACUCUGUUAUUAGGGAAGAACAAAUGUGUAAGUAACUAUGCACGUCUUGACGGUACCUAAUCAGAAAGCCACGGCUAACUACGUG
rnacentral:rRNA from 1 species